AUCCCAUGAUGAGGAGAAGCGCAAAUAUACUCAUUGAUACGUUCCCAUGCUUCAGGAAUAGUCUCGUCGGACUAUUGCUAGAAGCUCAAAAUCUUCCCACGCAAGGC
rfam:Sorghum bicolor cultivar BTx623 chromosome 5, whole genome shotgun sequence.